rnacentral:rRNA from 1 species
ACUCCUACGGGAGGCAGCAGUAGGGAAUAUUGCAAAUGGGCGAAAGCCUGAUGUAGCAACGCCGCGUGUGCGAUGAAGGUCUUCGGAUUGUAAAGCACUUUUUGGAGGGAUGAGGAAGGACAGUACCUCCAGAAUAAGCCUCGGCUAACUACGUGCCAGCAGCCGCGGUAACACGUAGGAGGCAAGCGUUAUUCGGAUUUACUGGGCGUAAAGCGCGUGCAGGCGGUUUGGAAAGUUGGAUGUGAAAGCUCCUGGCUCAACUGGGAGAGGUCGUUCAAAACUUCCAGACUUGAGAGUGGUAGAGGGAGGUGGAAUUCCGGGUGUAGUGGUGAAAUGCGUAGAUACCCGGAGGAACACCAGUGGCGAAAGCGGCUUCCUGGCCCAUUUCUGACGCUCAGACGCGAAAGCUAGGGUAGCAAACGGGAUUAGAGACCCCGGUAGUCCUAGCCGUAAACGAUGUGAACUUGGCGUUGGCGGGUUUAAAUCCGUCAGUGCCGCAGCUAACGCGAUAAGUUCACCGCCUGGGGACUACGGCCGCAAGGUUAAAACUCAGAUGAAUUGACGG